rnacentral:rRNA from 1 species
UACGUAGGGUGCGAGCGUUGUCCGGAAUUAUUGGGCGUAAAGGGCUCGUAGGCGGUCUGUCGCGUCGGGAGUGAAAACUCAGGGCUUAACCCUGAGCCUGCUCCCGAUACGGGCAGACUAGAGGUAUGCAGGGGAGAACGGAAUUCCUGGUGUAGCGGUGAAAUGCGCAGAUAUCAGGAGGAACACCGGUGGCGAAGGCGGUUCUCUGGGCAUUACCUGACGCUGAGGAGCGAAAGUGUGGGGAGCAAACAGG